UUCCUGGACACAUUGCUAGAAAUUGUGUUCAUCGCCCAAACGUGCAACAAGAUGUUAAUACUAAAUCUUGUGCUGAUGUUUGUGAGCCGGUUCACAAGAAGCGAAAGGAGCUAAAACGAGCAGAUCAAAAUCGAGGGUACAAGAAGUCUGCUUGUCCUCAUAAGUCUCGUGACAAGGUGAAUGAAAGCUCCAAUCAAGGAUAUACCCAACUCGAAUCCUAGCCCGGUUUGUAAGUACUUUGUUGGUGUUGCUGUUUUGUUCAGGAUUUAAGUAGCCAGGUUAGUACAUACACAUUAAACAAGUUCCGUAGGAAUAUGUACUUUCCCCUUUUUGGGUAUUUUUUUCAUCAUACUUUGUUUUUAUUUUUUUUUAUAUAUAGCUUGUAUUAAUUUUUAAGCAUAGGUAAGUAAGUUUUCUAUUAUGUACAAACUUUUAAAUGUAGUAUGUCAAGUCGUAAGCGACAAUGGGUGUCCUGUACUGUAUUGUCUGAUACCGCUUCGACUUCUACUGGACUACACGCUUAUACUUCUUAUCUAGACAA
rnacentral:lncRNA from 1 species